AUUGAACGCUGGCGGCAUGCCUUACACAUGCAAGUCGAACGGCAGCACGGGUGCUUGCACCUGGUGGCGAGUGUCGAACGGGUGAGUAAUACAUCGGAACAUGUCCUGUAGUGGGGGAUAGCCCGGCGAAAGCCGGAUUAAUACCGCAUACGAUCUACGGAUGAAAGCGGGGGACCUUCGGGCCUCGCGCUAUAGGGUUGGCCGAUGGCUGAUUAGCUAGUUGGUGGGGUAAAGGCCUACCAAGGCGACGAUCAGUAGCUGGUCUGAGAGGACGACCAGCCACACUGGGACUGAGACACGGCCCAGACUCCUACGGGAGGCAGCAGUGGGGAAUUUUGGACAAUGGGCGAAAGCCUGAUCCAGCAAUGCCGCGUGUGUGAAGAAGGCCUUCGGGUUGUAAAGCACUUUUGUCCGGAAAGAAAUCCUUGGCCCUAAUACGGUCGGGGGAUGACGGUACCGGAAGAAUAAGCACCGGCUAACUACGUG
rnacentral:rRNA from 1 species